rnacentral:lncRNA from 1 species
ACUGAACAUUUUCCUUUUAUCAGUAUUAGGGUUUUAAACCCUAAACUGAACUUUUUCCAUUCAGUCAGCAUUAGGGUUUUAAACCCUAAACUGAACUUUUUCCUUUAGUCAGCAUUAGGGUUUUAAACCCUAAACUGAACUCUUUCCUUCAGUCAGCAUUAGGGUUUUAAACCCUAAACUGAACUUUUUCCAUUCAGUCAGCAUUAGGGUUUUUAACCCUAAACUGAACUUUUUCCUUUAGUCAGCAUUAGGGGUUUAAACCCUAAACUGAACUCUUUCCUUUAGUCAGCAUUAGGGUUUUAAACCCUAAACUGAACUUUUUCCAUUCAGUCAGCAUUAGGGUUUUAAACCCUAAACUGAACUUUUUCCUUUAAUCAGCAUUAGAGUUUUAAACCCUAAACUGAACUUUUCCAUUCAGUCAGCAUUAGGGUUUUAAACCCUAAACUGAACUUUUUCCUUUAGUCAGCAUUAGGGGUUUAAACCCUAAACUGAACUCUUUCCUUUAGUCAGCAUUAGGGUUUUAAACCCUAAACUGAAUUUUUCCCUUCAGUCAGCAUUAGGGUUUUAAACCCUAAACUGAACUCUUUUCUCAGUCAGCAUUAGGGUUUUAAAC